rnacentral:sRNA from 1 species
AUAUUUUGUUAAGAGUGAGAUUAAUGGAUGAUUUAAUGCAAGUAAAACUUUUAAAUUUUUAUCACUAAGUUUUGUUAUAUUUUAAUGAUAUUAAUUUAGAAUGACAUGUGACACUCACUGGUGUGAUGAUAUGUCACUCAAUGAAAGUAGUGUUUGAUACAUUAACAUGAUUUUUUGUAUUUUUUCUUUUAAAUGAAGAUAUUUUGUUAAGAGUGAGACUAAUGGAUGAUUUAAUGCAAGUGAAACUUUUAAAUUUUUAUCAGUAAGUUUUGUUAUAUUUUAAUGAUAUUAAUUUAGAAUGACAUGUGACACUCACUGGUGUGAUGAUAUGUCACUCAUAUGGAGAGAGUUGACCAACUUUCAUAUAUAUGAUUUUU